rnacentral:tRNA from 1 species
AAAAAAAUUGUUAAUCUUUUAAAUCUUA